GACCAAAUUAUGCUCUGUGCAGGUACAAAUGAAUCUCAAUGAAUCCCACUAUUACAUAUAAUCAUAGAGAACCAGUAAAAAAAAAAUUAAAACAAAAUGCUCAAAACCACCACCACCAACAACAAAAAAAUCAAACUUAUGGCCAUUGCCCUAAAUUUUUAUUUUAAGUAAAUGCCUACUUUCAACCUCUCCAACUUUAAGAUUAAGAAAAUUAAUUAAUGAAUACAUACGGGGAAGGUAAAUAAACCCAGAUACAUGCAGUUUUAGAACUUGUGGGCACAUACUACAUGGGUACUUCAAUGGGUACCCUAUUGAACCGGUCUCUGCUUUUGAUCUUCAUAGCAGUCGGCCCUCGGGCUCACUCUAAAGUACUGUUCCCUUACUCUCAAUUAGAAUCCCUUUCAACCUGACCCCUUUGUUUUUUGUGGUAUUGGAUUGAACCCAGGAGUGCUCUACCACGGAGCCACAUCCCUACCUAACCUUUCAUUUUUUAAAAUUUUGAGACAGGGUCUUGCUAAGUUGCUGAGGCUGACCUUGAACUUGUGAUCCUCCUGCCCCAGCCCUUCAAGUUGCUGGGGUAACAGGCAGGUGCCGCUGCAACAAGCCUAACUCUUCUUUUUCAAGCAGGACCCCAGCUUCUAGAAGCAGAGGGAUAUUGAACAAUUUCUUCACUUUCCUUAGGUGAGAAACCUCAAGUUUUGCUGCUUGUGAAAUCUUGCCUAUUUUUUUAGGAUCACAGUGUUACUGCUCAUUUCCUUUGGGAAGAUGAAAUCUCCCCCUAUUCAAAGACAGCUGAACAUAGUUGACAGACAUCAGUACCUUUGAUACCAUCUGGGUUAUUUUGUCUUAAAUAACAUCACAGAUGGGACGGUAACAGUCCAGUGGGGGCAACAGCCCAGCCAUCUUUUUCACACUCUGUUCUCCAGUGAAGAAAUGUUAAGUCUGAACAUCUUUUAUAGCCGUUUCCCCACUCUCUUCUUUGGUGUGUAAGGACUUGAAUAAUAACACACAGGCCUUCCAAGAAUCAGCAAGAGAGUCUCACACAGGGAAGAUAAAUUUACCAAUUAGAAUACAAUCUGUGGGGAUAAAGAUAUGUUAAAUGGCACAUGCAAUUUAUAUCACUUAAUGGAACACAACCUGCUCGACUGAAACAUUUUAUAUUUGAUUAUUUCAAUAUCUUUUCCAAGUUCAAUGGAUGAGCUUAAAAGACAUCAGAAAAUUAAAAGGACCUUCAAGUGAUUUUUGCCCUAGAACAAAAUAAAAGUCAGUUGCUUCCUGAAAACACUUGAAGGGAUCGCAGCUUCUGGCUGUUCCCAUUUUCUUCUCUUCUCAAUUUACCAAACUAGAGGCCCCAGGAGUUGCCCAUUAGCGUUUUCUUUGGAGUUGCUGUGGAGUUUUAGCCCACAAGUGCAGACUCUCUUAAGAACCUUCAAGAACAAGAACAAGAUGCACAGUAAAGACAUGAGAGGUGCUUCUGCCCUCUUGAUUAUGUGCUUGCUUUGUUUGGGAGUGGGCAUCGCAAGGAUGCAAGGCUUUUUAAAGAAUUCAAUUAAUUAAGGCUGCACAAAAUGAUACAUGAAUUGUAUUCUCACUGUAAACAAUUCAAACUUCACAGAUCAAAAUAAAAUCAAAUAAGAGCCCAAAUCCUUAAUCACCUCCUACUAAUCACCUACUAUCCUAAAAGAAAUAAUAUUAUUCAUUUUUUUAUUUAAUUAACUAAUUACUUUUUUGGGGUACUGGGGAUUGAACCCAGGGUGCUUUACUACCGAGCCAUAUCCCCAGACCUUUCUAUUUUGAGACAGACUUUCCCUAAAUUGCUAAGGCAGGCCUUGAAGUGGUGAUCCUUGUGCCUCAACCUCCUAAAUUGCUAGGAUGACAUGUGUGGGCCACCAAACCUGGCUUCUUAUGAAUUUUGUAUAUAUCCUUCCAGAUUUUUUUUCUCUCUUCCCCUCUGCCCCAUGUUAAAGACAUGUAAGAGUCUAGGUAUUUUUCAGAAACUUUAAAAAUCUUUUUAAAACUCACUACCAAUGUAUCUUGGAGAUUUCCUGUGGAUGUGAAUGUUGCUACCUCAUUUUAAAAAUUGCCAUAUGGCAUAAAUAUUCUGUGAUGUUGAUGAUAAUUUAUUUAGAAUUUCGCCUCUCAAAACACUUUUUACCUUCCAAUAUUUUUGUUGGUUCCAGUUUUCACAAUUCUGCAACGGUCUUUGCACAUACCUACAAAGCUUUUCUCCGUUUCUGUUUGCCUUUUGAUUCUUAACAUCUUUAGAUACUGAUUCAUUGUCAGUUGUAGACUUUGCAAAUAUUUUCUCAUCUGUAUCUUGUCUUGCAAGGUUUUAAUGAAGUCUGCAGUCUUGCAGAAGUUAAAAUUUUGAUGUAGCCAAAUAUAUCAAUGCUUUACUUUCACUGUUUUUGAUUUUUGUUAAAAAGUUUUUUAUACACAAGUCAUAAAAUAUAUUCUCAUAUAUAUUUUUACUAUAAUUGUAAAUUUCUGUUUUCAC
rnacentral:lncRNA from 1 species